GAUGAACGCUGGCGGCGUGCCUAAUACAUGCAAGUCGAGCGAAUGGAUUAAGAGCUUGCUCUUAUGAAGUUAGCGGCGGACGGGUGAGUAACACGUGGGUAACCUGCCCAUAAGACUGGGAUAACUCCGGGAAACCGGGGCUAAUACCGGAUAACAUUUUGAACCGCAUGGUUCGAAAUUGAAAGGCGGCUUCGGCUGUCACUUAUGGAUGGACCCGCGUCGCAUUAGCUAGUUGGUGAGGUAACGGCUCACCAAGGCAACGACGCGUAGCCGACCUGAGAGGGUGAUCGGCCACACUGGGACUGAGACACGGCCCAGACUCCUACGGGAGGCAGCAGUAGGGAAUCUUCCGCAAUGGACGAAAGUCUGACGGAGCAACGCCGCGUGAGUGAGGAAGGCUUUCGGGUCGUAAAACUCUGUUGUUGGGGAAGAACAAGUGCUAGUUGAAUAAGCUGGCACCUUGACGGUACCUAACCAGAAAGCCACGGCUAACUACGUGCCAGCCGCCGCGGUAA
rnacentral:rRNA from 1 species